rnacentral:tRNA from 1 species
GGCCCGGUGGUCAAGCGGUUAAGACACCGCCCUUUCACGGCGGUAACACGGGUUCGAAUCCCGUACGGGUCA